rnacentral:rRNA from 1 species
CGGCGCACGGGUGAGUAUCGCGUAUGCAACCUACCUCUGACUGGAGCAGAGCGUGAGGAAAUACGGAUUAAUACUCCAUAAUACUGCGAGAAGGCAUCUUUUUUCAGUUAAAGCUUCGGCGGUCAGAGAUGGGCAUGCGUAACAUUAGCUAGUUGGUGAGGUAACUGCUCACCAAUGCUACGAUGUUUAGGGGGUCUGAGAGGAUGGUCCCCCACACUGGUACUGAGACACGGACCAGACGUGUACGGGAGGCAGCAGUGAGGAAUAUUGGUCGAUGGGCGAAAGCCUGAACCAGCCAUGCCUCGUGAAGGAUGACGGCCCUAUGGGUUGUAAACUUCUUUUAUACGGGAAGAAACCUCUCUACGUGUAGAGGGUUGACGGUACCGUACGAAUAAGCAUCGGCUAACUCCGUGCCAGCAGCCGCGGUAAUACGGAGGAUGCAAGCGUUAUCCGGAUUCAUUGGGUUUAAAGGGUGCGCAGGCGGAGAAUUAAGUCAGUGGUGAAAUCCUGCAGCUUAACUGUAGAAUUGUCAUUGAUACUGGUUUUCUUGAAUGCAGUUGAGGUAAGGCGGAAUGUGUAAUGUAGCGGUGAAAUGCUUUAGAUAUUACCCAGAACACCGAUUGCGAAGGCAGCUUACUAAACUGUGAUUGACGC